UUUCAAUGAUGAACCAUUAUUUGUACAUACCAUAUUAAUUACAUUGCUAAACAGUUCGAAGGAUGUUAUCCCUAUAAGUAUGAUCACGACACUAUAAAAUUCACUUAACUUCACAAACAAAAAUUAGAAGUACCUGCGCGUGCUACCGCUAAGAACAAUCAACAUUCAACAUAAGAGAACCCAACAACUAUAAACAACAUGAAAUACUUGCUAAUGCUAUGCCUCUUUGGAGUAAUAAUUAUGGGAAUUUAUUCCCAAGAGAACGUGAUAAUUCCAAUACCCAGAGUAUAU